GAUGAACGCUGGCGGCGUGCUUAACACAUGCAAGUCGAACGGUGAAGGCGGAGCUUGCUCUGCUGGAUCAGUGGCGAACGGGUGAGUAACACGUGAGCAAUCUGCCCCUGACUCUGGGAUAAGCGCUGGAAACGGCGUCUAAUACUGGAUACGAGCUGCGAAGGCAUCUUCAGCAGCUGGAAAGAAUUUCGGUCAGGGAUGAGCUCGCGACCUAUCAGCUUGUUGGUGAGGUAAUGGCUCACCAAGGCGUCGACGGGUAGCCGGCCUGAGAGGGUGACCGGCCACACUGGGACUGAGACACGGACCAGACUCCUACGGGAGGCAGCAGUGGGGAAUAUUGCACAAUGGGCGAAAGCCUGAUGCAGCAACGCCGCGUGAGGGACGACGGCCUUCGGGUUGUAAACCUCUUUUAGCAGGGAAGAAGCGAAAGUGACGGUACCUGCAGAAAAAGCGCCGGCUAACUACGUG
rnacentral:rRNA from 1 species